ACAGGCGAGACAAGAUGGCUUAAUGCCCUCCAACAACUAAUGCGGAACAUGCCUUGGAUUUGGAAACGACAAGGUUUUGUUUCCUGGUGGAGUGCACUCAAUUAUCAGAUCUGGAUAUCAUAGAGGUUUAUUGUUCGAUCCAUGGAUACAGUCCAACAUCCAUGAUUGGAAGAGAAUGGAGAUUUCCAUAUGUUGUAUAAAAUCGCAGAUAUUCCAUUCUUGGAACCUUACAAGACCGGCAUUAUGGUAGUAGUAAUAUUGGAGUAACACACCAAACCGACUACCAAGUGCCAACUUCCACUUCUGUGGGUAUCUCUGGUGUAUUUGUUUCCUGUGAGAUCACCAUGUCAAAAUAUUUAUGUUUGGUCUUUUCUCGGAUUAAGUUUUGCGUGACCCGACCUAUAAAAGAAAAGUAAGUCAACUAUGAUGUACCUGUGUACAUAGGCUGA